rnacentral:rRNA from 1 species
GACGAACGCUGGCGGCGUGCCUAAUACAUGCAAGUCGAACGCAGUGGGGACGGGUGAGUAACACGUGGGUAACCUCCCAUCAGAGGGGAUAACACUUGGAAACAGGUGCUAAACCGAUACUGAUGGAUGGACCCGCGGUGCAUUAGCUAGUUGGUGAGGUAACGGCUCACCAAGGCCACGAUGCAUAGGCGACCUGAGAGGGUGAUUCGCCCCACUGGGACUGAGACACUGCCCCGACUCCGAAGGGGGGCCGCAGUAGGGAAUCCUCGGCAAAGGACGGAAAUCUUGCCCAGGCACGCCGCGUGAGUGAAAAAGGUUUUCGGAUCGUAAAACUCUUUUGUUAGAGAAGCGGUAUCUAACCAGAAAGCCACGGCUAACUACGUGCCAGCAGCCGCGGUAAUUC